AUACGUACGGGUCAACGGGCUAACAAGAAGGCCCGUGGCCUAGUAGGAGAUCCUAGGUGAUAAUUUUUUGGCAGUGGGAGCCUGUGUUCGUGCAGCUCCCU
rnacentral:snRNA from 1 species